rnacentral:rRNA from 1 species
AAUCAAGUGGAGGACAAGUCUGGUGCCAGCACCCGCGGUAAUUCCAGCUCCACUAGCGUAUAUUAAAGUUGUUGCAGUUAAAAAGCUCGUAGUUGAACCUCUGUCUGGGGCUAGUUUUGGCUUUGGUCAGGCUAGUUCUAGGCAUCCGCCUACAAGACUUAGAGGGCAUUCAGUUGUUCACUAGGAGGAGUAGGCAUUUUACUUUGAAAAAAUUAGAGUGUUUAAGGCAGGCAAUCGCCCGCAUAUAUUAGCAUGGAAUAAUAGAAUAGGACACUUUUCCAUUUCGUUGGUUAUUGGAAUCGUGUAAUGAUUAAUAGGGACAGUUGUGGGCAUUUGUAUUUAAUUGUCAGAGGUGAAAUUCUUGGAUUUAUUAAAGACAAACUAACGCGAAAGCAUUUGCCAAGGAUGUUUUCAUUAAUCAAGAACGAAAGUUAGGGGAUCAAAGACGAUCAGAUACCGUCCUAGUCUUAACUAUAAACUAUUCCGACUCAAUGUUUGACUGGCUUAUAUAACCAGUUGAGCGUUGUAUGAGAAAUCAAAGUCUUUAGGUUCUGGGGGGAGUAUGGUUGCAAAGCUGAAACUUAAAGGAAUUGACGGAAGAGCACAACCAGGAGUGGAUUCUGCGGCUUAAUUUGACUCAACACGGGGAAACUUACCAGGUUAAAACAAUAGUGGGAUUGACAGUUUGAGAGCGCUUUUUUGAUUGGUUGGGUGGUGGUGCAUGGCCGUUCUUAGUUGGUGGAGUGAUUUGUCUGCUUAAUUGCGUUAACGAACGAGACCUUAACCUGCUUACUAGACUGGCGAUCAUCAAUCGUUAGCUCUUCUUAGAGGGACUUUGGUUGUUUUAACUCCAAGGAAGUUUGAGGCAAUAGCAGGUCUGUGAUGCCCUUAGAUAUCCUGGGCCGCACGCGUCAUACAAUGACUAGUUCAGAAAGUUUUCUCCUGACCCGAAAGGGGAUGGGUAAUCUUGAUAAUACUAGUCGUGUUAGGGAUCGAUCUUUGCAAUUAUAGAUCUUGAACGAGGAAUUCCUAGUAAGUGCGGUUCAUCAGACCGUACUGAUUACGUCCCUGCUCUUUGUACACACCGCCCGUCGCUUCUACCGAGUGGGUGGUCCGGUGAGAUAAUUGAACUUCGCAGGUAACUGAGAGGAAAGAUUAUCAAACCUAUCCACCU